rnacentral:rRNA from 1 species
AUGUUACCUAAAAAACAUCUAUCUGGUUGUGAGAAAAGAAACAACAAGAAAAGAGUAGACAAGUUGAUUAAAUCUCAGGAAGGCGCUAUGGAUAUGUUUGUCUUGAGGACUGGUGCUGCUACAAAUUCAGAGCAAUUAUAUAUAACAAAUGGUGAAGAAAAACCUGAUGAUACUAAGAAUGCCGUUGAGGAAAAUCAUGUCGAGGAAAAUAAUGCUGCGAAAAAUGAUGCUGAUCAGCACACGGAAAAUUUUAGUGACCAUGAGAAUCUUGGAAAUGCAGAUGAGCAGGGUUCUUCUUUUGAUAUAUAUGAUCCUAGAACUUGGAAUAUUCUUGACAAUAAACCAAGAGAUAUUCUCAUUGAAAAAGGACCUAUAAGGGAAUACAAUCUUGAGUUUCCCGAAGAUGAAAUUAGUGGCAGGCAUAUUUCAUAUGAUUACUACACAAGAAAGUUAAGGAAUGGCGAGUUCAGUGAUCGGAGGUGGUUAGUGUACUCUAAACACAUGAAUAAAGUCUACUGCUUUUGUUGCAAAUUGUUUAAAUCUGGAAAAAGCAAAAGUCUGCUAGCAUCCGAGGGAUUGAAGGAUAGACAUCUUAGUGAGAAGCUCCAAUUGCAUGAGAAUAGUGUUGAGCAUAUCACUAACAUGAAUACUUGGAAUGAGGUAAGGCUGAGGCUAAGUAAGAAGGAAACAAUUGAUAAAGACAUGCAACAAGAGAUUGCAAGGGAGAAGGAGCGAUGGAGACUUGUUUUAAUUAGAAUUGUUGCUGCUUUGAAAUUUCUUGCUAAACAUAGUCUGGCUUUUCGAGGAUCGAAUGAGAAAUUAUAUCAAGAUAACAACGGAAAUUUUUUGGGAGUAAUUGAAAUGAUGGCAGAAUUUGAUCCUGUAAUGCAAGAGCAUCUUCGGCGCAUUAAGAAUAGUGAAAUCCAUCUUAUCUUGGCCAUAAUAUUCAAAAUGAGUUAA